GUCACGUGGCCAGGAAACAGCGGAAGAAGAGGACUCCGCAGCAGAAAAGAAAGGAUAACUUGCAGCCGUCAGGAUGCAGAGCACCACCAACUACCUGUGGCUCAUUUCAGACCUGCUGGGUCAGGGAGCGACGGCCAACGUUUACCGCGGCAGACACAA